UGAGCCACGGUAUCCGGCUGCCAUCGAUUUUUUAAAAUAAGUUCUAUGUUCUUGUGGCUCAGAGCCACUGGUGGAGGAUACGGGAGAAACCUUCAUCACCUCAUCUUCUCAGGGCCUACUGCAAGCCAGCGUCUCCCCUCCUUCCUCUCUGCUUCAAGAUCCAUGACGGUCUUUGCCUGGCACCUAUAAAGAUCCUCAGCCCACACAAAGCAACACCAUCCAGAAGGAAAAUGCCCUUCGGGUCAGUUUCAGGACUUCAGUGUUCACCACGAUGGUGAGUGACGGCCUUUCUUGGCCACCAGCUGUCUGGAGCGACCCAGAGGAGAGGCAGGCAUUGCCCUCAGCAGGGCAAGUGAGGAGGAACUGCAGAGGCAGAGGAGGGACACCAGGGUGGAAAGUGACUCAGGAAUGAGACUGCUCUCCCCAUUCGACUCUCAGUCCAGAAAACCACACUCCUAUUGUGAAAAUUAGACCUUUGAGCAGCGUUCCAUGUGUUUAUUCUCCUUGUAUCAAAGACGCUUUCAUCUCCCUAGAGCAAAUUAUUAACACAUUCCACCCAAGUUGUGAGGGUGGAGGCCUGGCCUUGGAGAAAAAAUAAUCACCAUCAUAAUAAAGAGUUGCCCGAAACGUGAACUUAAGAAAAACUAACAUAAAAGCCCCCACUUUUAAUGACAGUGGUUGGAAAGGUGCCAAGGUCCUUGUGCCCAGGGGAGCAUGGUUGGCUGACUCCUUGUCCGUGGGCUGACCCUUCUGUGUCCAGGAAUUUUCCAUGAGCAGGCUGUAGUGUGGGAGGUGGGGACUUUUGCAGGUUCAGCAGGUUGAGGCACUCACAGCCAGUUGCCCUCAGCCUUAACUGGAGACCAGAUUUUGUUGGCUGAGUGAGCAGUGGCUCUCGGUUCCAGGCAAUAAAUCUUUGCUUCUCAAGAUCGUUUGGUUGGGAA